CGAGUCAGUCCGACGGUCGCGGCGUGGGCAACCAUGUCGAGGAAAGUCCGGGCUCCACAGGGCGCGGUGGUGGCCAACAGCCACCCGGGGUGACCCGCGGGACAGUGCCACAGAAAACAGACCGCCUCCCGACUCCGGUCGGGCGGUAAGGGUGAAACGGUGGUGUAAGAGACCACCAGCGGUUCCGGUGACGGAGUCGGCUAGGUAAACCCCACCCGGAGCAAGCUCAGACAGUGUGCGUUCGAGGGCGGCCCGCCCGAGUACACGGGUAGAGCGCUGGAGGCCACUGGCAACAGUGGUCCGAGAUGGAUGACCGUCAGCGUGACCCGGGCAACCGGCCACGCGACAGAACCCGGCUUAUGACUGACUCGUCCG
rnacentral:RNase_P_RNA from 20 species